CAAAAAUUAACGGGCGUAAUAGUUUGUGAAAGACCCAGAGAAACACAAAUAUCCGACGAGGCAAAAUCCCGGACAAUUUUGGAAUCCCUGCCGGACGCAUUUUUUAGGUCUCGAAAAGAGGACAUGUCCGGGUAAAAGAGGACGUCUGGUCACCAUACGUUAGGAGUCAGGCAUACUCCAACCAAGACAGCAAAAGUGCCGCAAUGAGAAACAUCGCAGAAAAACUGGAGACUACUGGAAAUGCAGUCAAAGCAAAAAUGGAAACGAUGAGAACACAGUAAACAGUCGCUACCUAAAGGCCAAGCCAUCGGGCAGUGAUGGAUUCGUCACACCAUGUCAGUCCUGGAUGGUGCAGAAGCUGAAGUUCCUUGAGAUCCAUAUGAGAAAAAGGCCAUCAAAAUCAAACUUGUCUCUUCAGGAUACAUCAACUGAAACGGACGAUGCACCAUUGGAAGGGAUUGGGGGUGAAGAUAGCUCUAAGACCGCUAUCAUCAUCAGCUCUGAAGACCCUGAUGUGACGGCAGUUGAUGGGAAAAAGAGAGGAGGAAACUGCCAGUACAUCUUAUUUCACACCCCCACUCUCUACACCUCGUAUAAGAGGUCUCAAGACAGAGACUUACAAAUGCUUGAGGCUAUCAAUUGUACACUGCGCACUCUCACUGAGAGUGCAGCUGUGAAGCAACAAGACCACAUUACAUCUUACUGCCAAUACCUUGAACAUGAGUUAAGAGCAAUGGAACAACUAGAUCCAUGGUAUUUUCGAUAUGUGCAAUGCGAAAUAGGUUGGCUCAUUUAUAACCCUCGUUCACCCAACCAUCCAUAUGGACCUUCCGAAGGCUAAUUGUGAGUGUGUGUGUUUGUGAAGGAGGGCAUUCAGCUCGCUCUCUCUCUCCCUCCCUAUUCUCUUCUCUGCCCUGCUCUUUUCUGUCUCUCUCUCUCUCCCUAUUUCUCUCUGGCUAUUUAUUCAUUAUUUAUUCUAUUUAUUAAACAUGUCCAAUUAUUUGAU